AACGCGAAGAACCUUACCCAGAUUUGACAUGCAGUGGACAGUGUUAGAAAUAACAUCUCCCUUCGGGGCCGCUGCACAGGUGCUGCAUGGCUGUCGUCAGCUCGUGCCGUGAGGUGUUUGGUUAAGUCCAGCAACGAGCGCAACCCUUAUCAUUAGUUGCCAACACGUAAAGGUGGGAACUCUAAUGAGACUGCCUGGGUUAACCAGGAGGAAGGUGAGGAUGACGUCAAGUCCGCAUGGCCCUUAUAUCUGGGGCUACACACGUGCUACAAUGGCCGGUACAGAAGGCAGCGAAACCGUGAGGUGAAGCAAAUCCAAAAAGCCGGUCCCAGUUCAGAUUGUAGUCUGCAACUCGACUACAUGAAGACGGAAUUGCUAGUAAUGGCGGGUCAGCAACACCGCCGUGAAUACGUUCCCGGGCCUUGUACACACCGGUACUA
rnacentral:rRNA from 1 species